rnacentral:lncRNA from 1 species
GUCUGUGGUCUGUGUCGUCAGUCUGCAGAUGAUUUUUCUGAACGCUCUCUUCGCUUGGCCGAAGUCAGCCGGGAUCAGACAAACCUGGAGGAGGAGGAGGAGGAGGAGGAAGAGGAGGAGGGCGGCUCCCUGCCAUCUACCAACAGAGGAGGAAAACUCUGCUGUAAUGGAGAAGCAGAGCAGGUGGACUUCAUCGACAGCAAUGUUACUGAGGAAGAGGAGGAAGAGCUCCGGAUAGAUGCCCCCACACCGCCUCUGGAGCAGAGAGGAACAUCUCCAUCGUCUCAGAGCCAGGACUCGGCAACCACCAGAUCCAGCCUCCACAUCGAGGUGGACUCCAAUGCUUCGGCUUCCCCGUUGCCCCAGUCGCCCUCCAGCCCCACCCUGGAGGAGCGCAGAGGCCCCAGCACCCUCUUCAUCUGGCAGGAGAGAGAGCGGCUGCAGCAGCAGAAGCAGAAGGCCGGUUUGUUGAAGUCGUCAACCAAGACAGGAAAUGUGGCAACGCCAGCGCCACAAACAGGAAGCAGCUCAUGGUAAGUGGAAGCCAUGGAACGGAUGAAAGUGGUAUCGAUCCAGGUCAAGCAGCAGCGUCUUCAGCUUGAAACCGCUGUCUCUGUCUCCCCCUAGUGGUAACUCCCCAGAAAGCGGCGGCACGCCUGCGGGGCUGCGGCACAGAUGUGUGGUGAGUGUCCGUCCUGAGACCGAAGCCGGACGUCUGCGUGUUCUCUGUUCUAACGUAGACGUUCUGU